CAGAUUUGGAUACAAUAUUCCAAGUGAGGUCUGACCAAAACAGAAUAGAGUGGAACAAUGUUCUUUGUGAUCUGGACACUACAUUUCUGUUCAUGGAGUUUAUGAAAGAUAUUUUGGCCUUUGGGGUGAAGCAUGCUUCCUCUUGAAAGCUGAAGAUUCAAAAAAAUUGCACUGCCUGAUAGAAUGCAGGAAGUUUGGAAUGAGAAUGGAACCACAGCAUACAAAUCAGGACACCUGCUAAGCCUGUUGUACAUCCAUCCAUCCAUCAAGACUUCACAGUGUGGCUUUGUAGGACAACAUAAUAUAGCCUAAGCUAUCAGUGUUAAAGGCUCUUUAAACCAGCAGUUAUAUAAAGUAAAGAAAAAUACACAAGGUCUCACAAUGGAAGGAGAUGGAUAUUAGGUAAAAUCAGAGAACAGAAAAGAUUAAGUGUCUUUAAUAAGCUCCAUUUUUUCUCCUUACACCUGAAAAUUUGACACAAAUGGGAAGUACACCUGAUAGUAUCAAUAGCAGAGAUUUUCUCAAGUAUUUUUUUAAUCGACUGUCUCCCAUUUUAUGUAGCAAGUGACUGAUGACACCAACUGCUCAAAUUUGAUUUUUACAAGUGCAUUGCUGUCCUA